AUUCGAGACUAAGGAUGAGAGAGAGAGGAUGAAGAGAAAAACUAGAUGCCUCAAGGUGGUAGAGCCGAUGGGAGAAAUGAACAGAAAGGCUCCUCCUCUUUCUCUAGACAGAGACC